rnacentral:miRNA from 1 species
CCGGUUCUUAUCUGGUUAUCAUG